rnacentral:rRNA from 1 species
GGUUUGGAUCAUGGCUCAGAUCGAACGCUGGCGGAUGUUUACACAUGCAGUCGAACUGGCAGCACGGGAUUGGUCUGGAGGCGAGUGGCGAACGGGUGAGUAAUGUGAUUGAACGUGCUCAGUAUGGGGAUAACUACGCGAAAGUGUAGAAGCGACAUCGCACAUUAUUCUUCUCGGGGAAAGCGGGGACUCGGGCCUCGCACUAUUAGAGUGGCCGAUAUCGGAUUAGCUAGCGGUGGGUGAAUGGCUCAACACAUGACGAUCCGUAGCUGGUCGGAGAGGACGACCAGCCACACUGGGACUGAGAGAUGACGGCCCGACUCCCGCACGGGGAAGGGCGCAGUGGGGAAUUUUGGACAAUGAGUGAAACCCCGAUCCAGCCAUCCUGGCGUGCGAUGAAGGCCUCGGGUUGUAAAGCACUUUGGCAGGAAAGAAAAACGGCAUGGGGAUAAUACCCGUGCAACCGACGGUACCUGCAGGAAGAAGCAGACUCAAUAACUACGUGCCAGCAGCCAUAAUACGUAGUGCUAUUAAUCGAAUUACUUGGCGUAAAAGCGGCAAAAGGUGGUUCCAAAAAGAAAGAUGCGGAAAUCCCAGCUUUAACUUUGAACUACAUUUUUAACUUACUGAGCUAGAGUGUGUCGGAGGGUGAGGUGGAAUUCUCGCGUAGCAGUGAAAUGCGUAGAUAUGUGGAGGAAACACCGAGCUGGCGAAGGCACUUCUGGGAUAACACUGACGUGCUUGCAUCGAAAGUGGGGAGCAAACAGGAUUAGAUACCCCAGUAGUCCACGCUCCCAAACGAUGUCAACGCUGUUGGGGCCUUCUACCUUGGCAAAGCGCAGCUAACGCGUGAAGUUGACCCGCUGGGGAGUACGGUCAAAGAUUAAAACUUCAAAGGAAUUGACGGGGACCUCGCCAAGCGGUGGAUGAUGGGAUUAAUCGAUGCAACGCGAAAAACCUUACCUACCUUUGACAUGUCUGGAAUCCCUGAAGAGAUUUGGGAGUGCUCGCAAGAGAAACUGGAACACAGGUGCUGCAUGGCUGUCGUCAGCCGUGUCGUGAGAUGUUGGGUUAAGUCCCGCAACGAGCGCAACCCUUGUCAUUAUUACGAAAGGGCACCGGGGACGAGACUGCCGGUGACAAACCGGAGGAAGGUGGGAUGACGUCAAGUCCUCAUGGCCCUUAUGGGUAGGGCUUCACACGUCAUACAAUGGUCGGGACAGGCGGGCUCAACCCGCGAGGGAGCCAUCCAGAAACCCGAUCGUAGUCCGGAUCGCAGUCUGCAACCUCGACUGCGUGAAGUCGGAAUCGCUAGUAAUCGCGGAUCAGCAUGUCGCGGUGAAUACGUUCCCGGGUCUUGUACACACCGCCCGUCACACCAUGGGAGUGGGUUUCACGAGUGAGUUAGCCUAACCGUAAGGAGGGCGAUUACCACGGUAGGAUUCAUGACUGGGGUGAAGUCGUAACAAGGUAG